rnacentral:rRNA from 1 species
CAAUAGCGUAUAUUAAAGUUGUUGCGGUAAAAAAGCUCGUAGUUGGACUUCUGUUGAGAGAUACCGGUCCAUGCAACGAAUGCGUAUUUGGUAAGUCUCGGCAUCCUCUCGAAAAACUUCUUUGCGCUUGAUUGCGUGAAAAGAGUUUCGGGACUUUUACUUUGAGGAAAUUAGAGUGUUCACGGCAGGCCAUCGCCAGGAUACAUUAGCAUGGAAUAAUACUAUAGGAUCUUGAUCCUAUUUUGUUGGUUUCUAGGAUUAAGAUAAUGAUUAAUAGGGACAAUUGGGGGCAUUCGUAUCAACACGUCAGAGGUGAAAUUCUUGGAUUGUGUUGCGACGAACUACUGCGAAAGCAUUUGCCAAGGAUGUUUUCAUUGA